GCACUCAAUGGAGCAGUCUGAUGGAGCACGCCGCGUGAGUGAAGAAGGGUUUCGGCUCGUAAAGCUCUGUUGUUAAAGAAGAACGUGGGUGAGAGUAACUGUUCACCCAGUGACGGUAUUUAACCAGAAAGCCACGGCUAACUACGUGCCAGCAGCCGCGGUAAUACGUAGGUGGCAAGCGUUAUCCGGAUUUAUUGGGCGUAAAGCGAGCGCAGGCGGUCUUUUAAGUCUAAUGUGAAAGCCUUCGGCUCAACCGAAGAAGUGCAUUGGAAACUGGGAGACUUGAGUGCAGAAGAGGACAGUGGAACUCCAUGUGUAGCGGUGAAAUGCGUAGAUAUAUGGAAGAACACCAGUGGCGAAGGCGGCUGUCUGGUCUGUAACUGACGCUGAGGCUCGAAAGCAUGGGUAGCGAACAGGAUUAGAUACCCUGGUAGUCCAUGCCGUAAACGAUGAUUACUAAGUGUUGGAGGGUUUCCGCCCUUCAGUGCUGCAGCUAACGCAUUAAGUAAUCCGCCUGGGGAGUACGACCGCAAGGUUGAAACUCAAAAGAAUUGACGGGGGCCCGCACAAGCGGUGGAGCAUGUGGUUUAAUUCGAAGCUACGCGAAGAACCUUACCAGGUCUUGACAUCUUCUGCCAACCUAAGAGAUUAGGUGUUCCCUUCGGGGACAGAAUGACAGGUGGUGCAUGGUUGUCGUCAGCUCGUGUCGUGAGAUGUUGGGUUAAGUCCCGCAACGAGCGCAACCCUUAUUACUAGUUGCCAGCAUUCAGUUGGGCACUCUAGUGAGACUGCCGGUGACAAACCGGAGGAGGUGGGGACGACGUCAAAUCAUCAUGCCCCUUAUGACCUGGGCUACACACGUGCUACAAUGGAUGGUACAACGAGUCGCGAAACCGCGAGGGUUUAGCUAAUCUCUUAAAACCAUUCUCAGCUCGGACUGUAGGCUGCAACUCGGCUACACGGAGUCGGGAUUCGCUAAGAAAUCGCGGAUCAUCUUGCGACGUGAAUCCCUUCCCGGAACAUGUAGCUCUCGCCCGGUCCAACCAUUAAAGAUUAGGUAGCUCUCAAAGUCCGUGGGGCUAACUUUUUAGGACGUAAGCGUUCUAACGCUGGAAACAGAUGAAUCAUGUGAUAAUCCAUAACAUUAAGGGUAUACCCUCAACUGGA
rnacentral:rRNA from 1 species